AGUGAACGCUGGCGGUAGGCCUAACACAUACAAGUCGAACGGCAGCACAGUAAGAGCUUGCUCUUACGGGUGGCGAGUGGCGGACGGGUGAGGAAUACAUCGGAAUCUACUUUUUCGUGGGGGAUAACGUAGGGAAACUUACGCUAAUACCGCAUACGACCUACGGGUGAAAGCAGGGGAUCUUCGGACCUUGCGCGAUUGAAUGAGCCGAUGUCGGAUUAGCUAGUUGGCGGGGUAAAGGCCCACCAAGGCGACGAUCCGUAGCUGGUCUGAGAGGACGAUCAGCCACACUGGAACUGAGACACGGUCCAGACUCCUACGGGAGGCAGCAGUGGGGAAUAUUGGACAAUGGGCGCAAGCCUGAUCCAGCCAUACCGCGUGUGUGAAGAAGGCCUUCGGGUUGUAAAGCCCUUUUGUUGGGAAAGAAAAGCAGCAGGUUAAUACCCCGCUGUUCUGACGGUACCCAAAGAAUAAGCACCGGCUAACUUCGUG
rnacentral:rRNA from 1 species